rnacentral:rRNA from 1 species
GACGAACGCUGGCGGCGUGCUUAACACAUGCAAGUCGAACGGAAAGGCCCUGCUUUUGUGGGGUGCUCGAGUGGCGAACGGGUGAGUAACACGUGAGUAACCUGCCCUUGACUUUGGGAUAACUUCAGGAAACUGGGGCUAAUACCGGAUAGGAGCUCCUGCUGCAUGGUGGGGGUUGGAAAGUUUCGGCGGUUGGGGAUGGACUCGCGGCUUAUCAGCUUGUUGGUGGGGUAGUGGCUUACCAAGGCUUUGACGGGUAGCCGGCCUGAGAGGGUGACCGGCCACAUUGGGACUGAGAUACGGCCCAGACUCCUACGGGAGGCAGCAGUGGGGAAUAUUGCACAAAGGGCGGAAGCCUGAUGCAGCAACGCCGCGUGCGGGAUGACGGCCUUCGGGUUGUAAACCGCUUUCGCCUGUGACGAAGCGUGAGUGACGGUAAUGGGUAAAGAAGCACCGGCUAACUACGU